rnacentral:rRNA from 1 species
AUGACAAUUUGACCUCAAA